GAACCCUUGGCACAGUGGUAGCGCGUGAGAUUCCAGCUUGGAAAAUCCUCAAGGUCGUCCGUUCAAUCCGGGCAGGGUUCA
rnacentral:tRNA from 1 species